GCUGGGCAUGGUGGCUCAUGCCUGUAGUUCCAGCUAUUCGGGAGGCUAAAGUGGGAGGAUCACUUGAGUCCAGGAGUUCUGGGCUGCAGUGCGCUAUGCCAAUUGGGUGUCUGCACUAAGUUCGGCAUCAAUAUGGUGACCUCCCCGGAGCAGGGGACCACCAGGUUGCCUAAGGAGGGGUGAACCGGCCCAGGUUGGAAACGGAGCAGGUCAAAACUCCCGUGCUGAUCAGUAGUGGGAUUGCGCCUGUGAAUAGCCACUGCACUCCAGCCUGGGCAAUAUAGUGAGACCCUGUCUCU
rnacentral:SRP_RNA from 1 species